GACAGAGGUGCCGAGCGUUAGGCGGAAUCACUGGGCUUAAAGCGUGUGUAGGCGGACUUCUAAGUACCUUGUGAAAUCCCACGGCUCAACCGUGGAACUGCUUGGUAUACUGGUUGUCUUGAGCCACUUAGGGGCAGUCGGAACAGACGGUGGAGCGGUGAAAUGCGUAGAUAUCAUUUGGAACGCCAAUGGUGAAAACAGGUAGCUGGGGCUGUACUGACACUGAGACACGAAAGCCAGGGGAGCAAACGGG
rnacentral:rRNA from 1 species